rnacentral:rRNA from 1 species
AUUGAACGCUGGCGGCAGGCCUAACACAUGCAAGUCGAGCGGAUGAAGGGAGCUUGCUCCUGGAUUCAGCGGAGGACGGGUGAGUAAUGCCUAGGAAUCUGCCUGGGAGUGGGGGAUAACGUCCGGAAACGGGCGCUAAUACCGCAUACGUCCUGAGGGAGAAAGUGGGGGAUCUUCGGACCUCACGCUAUCAGAUGAGCCUAGGUCGGAUUAGCUAGUUGGUGGGGUAAAGGCCUACCAAGGCGACGAUCCGUAACUGGUCUGAGAGGAUGAUCAGUCACACUGGAACUGAGACACGGUCCAGACUCCUACGGGAGGCAGCAGUGGGGAAUAUUGGACAAUGGGCGAAAGCCUGAUCCAGCCAUGCCGCGUGUGUGAAGAAGGUCUUCGGAUUGUAAAGCACUUUAAGUUGGGAGGAAGGGCAGUAAGUUAAUACCUUGCUGUUUUGACGUUACCAACAGAAUAAGCACCGGCUAACUUCGUG